AAUGUCCAAAACAGUUUCAAUUAUUGUCAAUAGAAGUAAAUCUCGUUUGAAAAGGGAAUUGAUGUCCAGAAACUUUAUGUAUUUGUGUUUCAAAUGAAAAAAAAAAAAAAAUUGUUGGCAGAACAUUUUUAAAGAUGGUUUUUGUGUCUAACGUCAUGCGAACGGGCACAGAAGCGAGAAAUAUCUGUGUCGCUCAACGUUGCUGCUGCUCCAUAUUAAGUUGUAUGGACGUUAGGGACGAUGACAAGUUGAUCAUACUUUGUUUUGAUGUUCUGUUUUCGUUUUGUAAAACUUUUUUUGUUUAAAUUAGCCUGAAGAUAUCAGUAAGAUAUAAGUAAACAUGGAAGUACUGACAUCGUCUGUUUUCUGAUAGAAAACUAAACGAAAAUCGUACUUCACUUCCAAUGCCUGAAGAAAUUAGUAGUGCUGUCCUAUUCUGUUGAAAAAGAACCUUUCGAGUGAAUAACUAGAUAAAUACAGCUUGGUUUCGCAAACAAAAGAAAUAUUGAUCUCCAGGAAGCGAUUGUAAGGAGUACAGAACAGAAAUGGAAUAUAUCAUCUACUGGAAGAGAGAGAUUUUCCCGUUCCAUGAACUUAAAUGAAAGUGCUAGCAAACAAUUGAUGUCACCUCCAGAUCUGUCUUCACGUUGUUAGGUCAUCGAAAACGUGCCAGAAACAAGUUUUAGUAAGCUGUACGCGAACUUGUCAAGUAAUCACUGUCUGAUGAAGAAAUUAAUGUCGGCAAGUUGUCAUUGGAUGUGUCAGUGCGAGCCACGGUUCAUCCAAUUACUUCAACAUUCUUCACUUCCGUCCGGAGUUGGUAAGUGCGUUUGGAUUGCCUGUCACAAUAGACACUAAUCAGCAAGUGGGAAGAAGAAAAUGAAAGCUCUACGUCCAAGAUUCCUUCCAUUGUUUUUUUUUUUUUUUUAUGCAAAUGGUUAAUGUAUUAUCGAUUUCUGUUUAACAUCUACCGUUGCUAUAAUACGCAAACGAUAUUAAUACAAACUACUAACUAUGAAUGAAUGAAAAAAAAUGUAACUGAGAAAUUCUUCAUCAGGUACAACAGAGAAGUUUCAGCUGUAUAGAUUCUCAUAGAAAGUUACCAAUAGCUUUUUUACAGGCAUUUUUCUUUAUAUAUAUUUUAUCUACGGGAGAAAUUGGAAGGAACACGGUUGAAAAACUUUUGGUUCUAUCGAGAAUAGAAUCCCUGAGAAGGUUAAGGAAUUCAUGCAUGGUUUGCACAGCCGGAUACCAAUGGUUGAAAGAGGUAUCUACUUCAUUGAAUUCUAUUUCACGAAAUGUUCGUAGAAACAGGCGUUUUGUAGUAUGAAAACGUCUUUUCUGAUCAGUAAAUUUCCUCGAAAAUUAAAAUUCAUGAAGUGAACGAGUCUCGAAAUCCUUUUAAAUUUUGAAUUAGUUGGAUAUUUUAUCGUCGUAAACUUUAAUCCAAUAAAUUUCCCGAAAAUGAGUUUUAAUAAUUGAUUUUCAAAUCAGUCUUUCUCUCUCGCUCUCCCUUCAUUUUUAAUUCUUUGAAAACAAACAAACUUAGUCAAUAAUUAAAAUCUCUUCCAAUAAAAUUUCGUCUGUGCUAGAGUUAAUGGAUCGAGUUCUAAAUGCAAACAAACAUGAAAAAAAAAAAUGGCGAUAAAAGAUUUUUGCACCGGUCAAAACAUCAAAUUUAUAUCCAAAUUUUUCCAUUAAAAAAAAAAAAAAUUGUGGAAAGAAGUAAAGUAUUAAACAGAAAUAAUUAUUUCUAUUCAGAAAAUCUCGAUUGUUUAUAUAUAUACAUAUAUCCUCGAGGGGUUUUUAUUUUCUUCCAUGUAACAAAUGCAUGUGCGUAUACACUCCGUUUCUAAUUAUUAAAAAUCAACUUUUAUAACUAAAUCGAAAGACAAAAAGUUGUGCUAUUGGGUUUCAUUAUAUCGGCAAGUGGUUGUAAUUAGAAGGAAAAUCUCAUUAGACGGUUUUAAUUUGCGCAAUUAACUGAGAAAAUUGGAACUGUCUUUCGCAUCCGCAGAUAACACAAAUUACUAAGUGAAAGAAAUCAAGAUGCCAAUAUGUAAACACAACAUCUGUCUUAUAUUGCGAGCAAUCUAGAUAACCGAUCUUUAAAAAAAUAAAAAAAAAUUGAUAUUCUACGAUAAAUGAGUGUUUUUGUAAGAUUUUUCAAUGCGAAAGAUCAUUUCUGUAGAAGUAGUUAUUUAUAAGAAUCUUUUUUUUUUUUUCCUUCCUCUCGUUUCUUCCAUCCACUUUCUUAAAUUGCACUUCGGCGGUUAUUCCUGUUACCAAUUAUUCAAUGUGCUUUAAUUUACAUUAUAAAGAAGAUAGGAAGAAGACGGUUCUCGUAAAAGUCUUCUAGAAGAAUUGCAGAAGGGGCACAUUUUUGCACUUUUCUAUUCGGUUUUUGCAUAUAUAGUUUUUAAAUACGUCACAAAUUUUUAGCAAAGUAGAAGUAGAAGAGUUUUAAUUGAACGAGUCAAACCGUUAUAUAUAUAUAUAUAUAUAUACAUAUACAAAAAUGUGAUAAAAAUUUAACUUCUGAAGGAGUUUCAAACUUG
rnacentral:lncRNA from 1 species